rnacentral:rRNA from 1 species
UACGUAGGGUGCAAGCGUUAAUCGGAAUUACUGGGCGUAAAGCGUGCGCAGGCGGUUAUGUAAGACAGAUGUGAAAUCCCCGGCUCAACCUGGGAACUGCAUUUGUGACUGCAUCGCUGGAGUGCGGCAGAGGGGGAUGGAAUUCCGCGUGUAGCAGUGAAAUGCGUAGAUAUGCGGAGGAACACCGAUGGCGAAGGCAAUCCCCUGGGCCUGCACUGACGCUCAUGCACGAAAGCGUGGGGAGCAA